UACGUAGGGGGCUAGCGUUGUCCGGAAUCAUUGGGCGUAAAGCGCGCGUAGGCGGCCAGAUAAGUCCGGUGUGAAAGUCAAAGGCUCAACCUUUGAAUGCCGCUGGAAACUGUCUGGCUUGAGUCCGGAAGGGGCGAGUGGAAUUCCUGGUGUAGCGGUGAAAUGCGCAGAUAUCAGGAGGAACACCAAUGGCGAAGGCAGCUCGCUGGAACGGUACUGACGCUGAGGCGCGAAGGCCAGGGGAGCAAACGGG
rnacentral:rRNA from 1 species